rnacentral:rRNA from 1 species
GCCUACCAUGGUGGUAACGGGUAACGGGGUGUUAGGGCACGACACCGGAGAGGGAGCCUGAGAAACGGCUACCACAUCCAAGGAUGGCAGCAGGUGCGCAAAUUACCCAAUCCCGACACGGGGAGGUAGUGACAAUAAAUAACAAUACGGGGUUCUUUAGGAUCUCGUAAUUGGAAUGAGUACAAUUUAAAUCUCUUAACGAGGAACAAUUGGAGGGCAAGUCUGGUGCCAGCAGCCGCGGUAAUUCCAGCUCCAAUAGCGUAUAUUAAAGUUGUUGCAGUUAAAAAGCUCGUAGUCGAAUUUCGGGGUUAGUAGGUUGGUCAUGCCUCUGGUAUGUACUGGUCUCACUGAUUCCUCCUUCCUGAUGAGCCGUAAUGCCAUUAAUUUGGUGUUGCGGGGAAUUUGGACUGUUACUUUGAAAAAAUUAGAGUGUUUAAAGCAAGCUAACGCUUGAAUACAUUAGCAUGGAAUAAUGAAAUAGGACGUUUGAUCCUAUUUUGUUGGUUUCUAGGAUUGACGUAAUGAUUAAUAGGGAUAGUUGGGGGCAUUAGUAUUCAAUUGUCAGAGGUGAAAUUCUUGGAUUUAUUGAAGACUAACUACUGCGAAAGCAUUUGCCAAGGAUGUUUUCAUUAAUCAAGAACGAAAGUUAGGGGAUCGAAGACGAUCAGAUACCGUCGUAGUCUUAACCAUAAACUAUGCCGACUAGGGAUCGGAUGAUGUUAAUUUUUUAAUGACUCAUUCGGCGCCUUACGGGAAACCA